AUAACAGUUAGCUCAGUGUUUCCCCCCCUGGUCCUCAGGCCCCCUGCUCUGCAUGUUCUAGAUGAGCCUCUGCUCCAGAACCGCUGAUCCAAAUCACUGCCUGAGCAUCAGGGCCUGUUAAUCACCCAGAGAUACAGAAGGAAACACCUGAAACAUGCAGGACAGGGAGCAGGAGCACUGGUUAGAUGUUAAUAAUGUGAAACCACAUGUGGCUCUGAGCUCAUUCGGACUCGGCUGCUCUGACCCAGUUUGGUCCUCAUAAAGGUUUCAUGCUGUCCGUCUCCAGGCUGUCGGCGCGUCGGGCAGUAAAAUCAGACCAACUCCUGCCGUCCUUCCUGCUGCAGCGAUGGGGAAACGUUCACAGGUAAAAGCGUGUUUCCGUCCUGGAUGACGUCCAGCCGCUCUGCCUCAGUGUGAUGAAGUUUACAACCUGCUGCAAACCGAACUGCUGACUGAAGGCCAAAUGUGAUGAUCAGCUGAGUUAGCCACUAUGCUAACUCUGCUAACUAGCAGUCUCUGCUAGCGCUGAACCACUAUAGCAAAACAUUACUUAGCGGAAGCUAACACUACAGCGCUACACCAAAAUGCAUUUAGAGGAAGCUAAUGCUAAGGUGCUAACGUUGCCCAUGUGUGAAUGUAGCAUGACGUGUUGCGUCUGGGCGGCUUUGAACCCAGAACCAUCUGGAUCGUCGGCGUUCAGUCAAAUAAAACUGAUUUAAAUCAAUUAAUGUUUUUAAUUCAACUUAAAAAAUGCUUCACAAAAAAACAACUAGCAGCUGUAAAUGAAAACUUCCAGAGCGGAAAAUCACGUCACGGAUCUGGAAAACCCAGGAACUCUCCAGCUGGUCUGAUUCUAGGGCCUAAACAAAACCCUGUGACUGCUUCCUGCUGAUUCAGCACAUUUCUUCUUCUCGAGAAUGAAGACGAGCCGGUUUUCCAUCAUCCAGCUGUGGAGACGCAAAGCGCGACGAUUGUCCCUGCAGGUUCUGAUCCCGGUUCUGUUGCUGUGAUCAGAACCAGUUCCGGACGUUUGGUCCAGUUUCCUGACGUGGAGGAACCGCUGGGUUGUUUUCUCCCAGAUCUCUGCCUGCAGGCUGACUCACCCGUUCAUUAUUAAAUGUGUAAGGAAACCCUCUGACCUCCUUUCCUCGCUCCUCCCGUGUUUAUGUUUACCGGCCUGUUGCUAUGGCGACGACACGGUCGUGCCCUUGCCGUCGUCUUCCCGCCCUGGCGCCCAGGCAGGAGGCGCCCAUGUCAUCUGCAGGAUUUCUGCUGCUGUUUUCAUCCAGCUGAGGCUAAAAUUAGAAACUUUAUUCACAUCAGUUCAGGCUGAACAUCUGACCGACGUCCAGGAUUUUACCAGAGAAACUUUUCUGGUCCAGUUUGAAAAGAAUAAACUGAACUAAAAUAUCCAAAUCUAACUAAAAUAAAUACAUUUUAAUGAAUCUUAAUUCAAGCUGGAUUUUAGUUUCCACAACCAAACAGUUUUAUUUAUUUCCUGA